rnacentral:rRNA from 1 species
GUUGUUGCGGUUAAAAGCUCGUAGUUGGAUUUCUGUUGAGGAAGUCCGGUCCGCACUUUGUGCGUGAUCUGGUUCUGCCUCGGCAUCCUCGCGGGGAACGCGCUGCGCUUGAUUGCGUGGUGCGGUAUUCGCGACUUUUACUUUGAGGAAAUUAGAGUGUUCACGGCAGGCAAUCGCCUUGAAUACGUUAGCAUGGAAUAAUAAUAUAGGACCUUGGUUCUAUUUUGUUGGUUUCUAGAACUAGGGUAAUGAUUAAUAGGGAUAAUUGGGGGCAUUUGUAUUAACACGUC